CUUGCGAUCGGAAUCCCGCCUAUAGGUCGCAACGAUGCUGUCGUGAUCCUGUUCUUUGGCGGUGCGAAUAGCGGGUUCCCUCGUAGG